rnacentral:rRNA from 1 species
AGCGAACAUUGGCGGUAGGCUUAACACAUGCAAGUCGAGCGAGGUUUAGAACCGAGCGGCGAACGGGUGAGUAAAACUUGGGAAUCUACCCUGAAGUGGGGGAUAACGUUCAGAAAUGAACGCUAAUACCGCAUAAUCCACAUUGGGAAAGCGCGCUGCGCUUUAGGAUGAGCCCAAGCCUGAUUAGCUAGUUGGUGGGUAACGGCCCACCAAGGCGACGAUCAGUAGCUGGUCUGAGAGGAUGAUCAGCCACACUGGAACUGAGACACGGUCCAGACUCCUACGGGAGGCAGCAGUGGGGAAUCUUGCGCAAUGGGGGCAACCCUGACGCAGCCAUACCGCGUGUGUGAUGAAGGUCUUCGGAUUGUAAAGCACUUUAAGCGAGGAGGAGGCUCUUUUGGUUAAUACCCAAGAUGAGUGGACGUUACUCGCAGAAUAAGCACCGGCUAACUCUGUGCCAGCAGCCGCGGUAA